CUGGUCUGAGGGGCCGGGUGCAAGGGCUCCGCCCGCGGCGCGCCGUGAGCAAGGGGCGCUAGACGAAGCGCAGAAGCUAAAGCCUGGAAGACACUCGUUUAAUGACUCGAGCCCCACAUGCCCUGUCCUGAGCUUCCUCUGGGGCUGCUCAGCAGAAGAACUUGACCGCCCUCCUCACUGCCCGUCCUUCUUGGCGGGCAUGGCUGUCGUAGAGCGCAGCAGCGCCUUAUCUCCCUGGCGGACUUGGUCCCCUUCCUGUCCUCACGAGUUUCCGGGUUGCGCACAAGAUAUCUGGUUCAAAUGUGGUUAACCUUGCCAAAGAGAGCAAGCACCCAGGUGAGCCGGUAAAAUAGUCAGUCGAAGCUGAGGAUGCGGUGCUUUUCAUGAUGUCUAUUUGAUGCCUUUGAACCAACCUUUGAACUUUUUUUUUUUUUUUUUUUUUUGCCUUAAGAACCUUUGACACAGCUUUCCGUCACCCUCAAUACUGGCAGAUCUUGGGUCGCUCAGGCACUAGGCAAAAGUCAUUUGCCUUGUGUCCUUUCUUUUUCUCAUACCUGUAUCUUCCCAGGUUUACUGCUGGUCUAUUUCAUUUAUAGAAACCCA